UGCCCAAAGUCGGUGAGUUAACUUCGGAGACCAUUGCCUAAGGCGGACCGAUGACUGGGGUGAAGUCGUAACAAGGUAUCCCUACGAGAACGUGGGGAUGGAACACCUCCUUUCUACGGAAAAACCAAAAACAAAACAUAAAUUUAUUCACACCUUUUAUUAGAUUAAAUUUUUUCUAAAUUUUUACAUUUUUAACAUCAUUUUCAUUAUUUAUUCUUAUUCUUUUUAUUAAAUUAAAAGAUUUUUAUAGAUUUUAUUUGUAUUUUUUUAAUUCAUUUCCUCCUUAUUUAUUUAUAAUUAUUUAUUAAUCUAGUUGUUGUAAAAUUUUAAAUUGGACUAUAUACCUAGUUUU
rnacentral:rRNA from 1 species